AGUCGAGCGGUAGGCCUUUCGGGGUACACGAGCGGCGAACGGGUGAGUAACACGUGGGUGAUCUGCCCUGUACCUCGGGAUAAGCCUGGGAAACUGGGUCUAAUACCGGAUAUGACCUCCUAUCGCAUGGUGGGUGGUGGAAAGAUUUAUCGGUGCAGGAUGGGCCCGCGGCCUAUCAGCUUGUUGGUGGGGUAAUGGCCUACCAAGGCGACGACGGGUAGCCGACCUGAGAGGGUGACCGGCCACACUGGGACUGAGACACGGCCCAGACUCCUACGGGAGGCAGCAGUGGGGAAUAUUGCACAAUGGGCGAAAGCCUGAUGCAGCGACGCCGCGUGAGGGAUGACGGCCUUCGGGUUGUAAACCUCUUUCAGCAGGGACGAAGCGCAAGUGACGGUACCUGCAGAAGAAGCACCGGCUAACUACGUGCCAGCAGCCGCGGUAAUACGUAGGGUGCAAGCGUUGUCCGGAAUUACUGGGCGUAAAGAGUUCGUAGGCGGUUUGUCGCGUCGUUUGUGAAAACCAGCAGCUCAACUGCUGGCUUGCAGGCGAUACGGGCAGAUUUGAGUACUGCAGGGGAGACUGGAAUUCCUGGUGUAGCGGUGAAAUGCGCAGAUAUCAGGAGGAACACCGGUGGCGAAGGCGGGUCUCUGGGCAGUAACUGACGCUGAGGAACGAAAGCGUGGGUAGCGAACAGGAUUAGAUACCCUGGUAGA
rnacentral:rRNA from 1 species